GCCUCGGUGGCGGAGGGUCCGCAUCUGAAAACAGUUAUUAAUUUGCUGACAGACCACUACUGCAUGUUAUAUAUUAUGCAGACGCAGCUCGUUCGAUUCGAGCCCGAGGCA